AUGCUCUGGUUUCUCUUCAAUACCGUGCUAAUCUUUCGCCUUUUACUAAAGAUUACCGUGGAGAGGAACAACUUAAUGAGCCUACUCCAAUUUUUGGAAUCCCGCUUCGGUGGGAU